GAUGAAGAACGUAGCGAAAUGCGAUAAGUAAUGUGAAUUGCAGAAUCCAGUGAAUCAUCGAAUCUUUGAACGCACAUUGCGCCCCUUGGUAUUCCGAGGGGCAUGCCUGUUCGAGCGUCAUAUUAACCACUCCCGCUUGCGGGGUCUUGGGCUUCGCCUCCGGGCGGGCCUUAAAAUCAGUGGCGGUGCCGUCGGGCUCUACGCGUAGUAAAUUUUCUCGCGAUAGGGUCCCGGUGGAUGCUUGCCAACAACCCCCAACUUCUUAAGGUUGACCUCGGAUCAGGUAGGGAUACCCGCUGAACUUAAGCAUAUCAAUAAGCGGAGGA
rnacentral:misc_RNA from 1 species